rnacentral:misc_RNA from 1 species
GAAGGUAACGUAGAAGCUUGAA